UACGGAGGGCGCAAGCGUUGUUCGGAAUCACUGGGCGUAAAGCGCGUGUAGGCGGCCGGGCAAGUCGGAUGUGAAAUCCCGAGGCUCAACCUCGGAACUGCACUCGAAACUGCUCGGCUCGAGUCCCGGAGAGGGUGGCGGAAUUCCCGGUGUAGGGGUGAAAUCCGUAGAUAUCGGGAGGAACACCAGUGGCGAAGGCGGCCACCUGGACAGUGACUGACGCUGAGACGCGAAAGCGUGGGGAGCAAACAGG
rnacentral:rRNA from 1 species